rnacentral:rRNA from 1 species
AACGCUGGCGGCGUGCUUAACACAUGCAAGUCGAACGAACCUUCGGGUUAGUGGCGGACGGGUGAGUAACGCGUGGGAAUCUGCCCUCAGGAGGGGGAUAACGGCCGGAAACGGCCGCUAAUACCCCAUAUGCCGAGAGGUGAAAUGAAUUUCGCCUGAGGAUGAGCCCGCGUCUGAUUAGCUAGUUGGUGAGGUAAGAGCUCACCAAGGCAUCGAUCAGUAGCUGGUCUGAGAGGAUGAUCAGCCACACUGGGACUGAGACACGGCCCAGACUCCUACGGGAGGCAGCAGUGGGGAAUUUUCCGCAAUGGGCGAAAGCCUGACGGAGCAACGCCGCGUGAGGGAUGAAGGCCUCUGGGCUGUAAACCUCUUUUAUCAAGGAAGAAGAUCUGACGGUACUUGAUGAAUAAGCCACGGCUA